AUUGAACGCUGGCGGCAGGCCUAACACAUGCAAGUCGAGCGAGCGGCGGACGGGUGAGUAAUGUCUGGGAAUCUGCCUGAUGGCGGGGGAUAACUACUGGAAACGGUAGCUAAUACCGCAUACCAUCAGAUGUACCCAUAUGGGAUUAGCUAGUAGGUGGGGUAAUGGCUCACCUAGGCGACGAUCCCUAGCUGGUCUGAGAGGAUGACCAGCCACACUGGAACGGAGACACGGCCCAGACUCCUACGGGAGGCAGCAGUGGGGAAUAUUGCACAAUGGGCGCAAGCCUGAUGCAGCCAUGCCGCGUGUGUGAAGAAGGCCUUCGGGUUGUAAAGUACUUUCAGUGAGGAGGCGUUACUCGCAGAAGAAGCACCGGCUAACUCCGUGCCAGCAGCCGCGGUAAUUC
rnacentral:rRNA from 1 species